GAUGAGGAACGCAGCGAAAUGCGAUAAGUAAUGCGAAUUGCAGAAUUCAGUGAAUCAUCGAAUCUUUGAACGCACAUUGCGCCCGCUAGUAUUCUGGCGGGCAUGCCUGUCUGAGCGUCAUUUCAACCCUCGCCCCCGGCUUUUGCUGGGAGCGGUGUUGGGGAUCGGCCGCCCGUCACUGGGAGGCCGGCCCCGAAAUAGAGUGGCGACCACGCCGUGUGCUCCUCUGCGUAGUAGUAAAUCACCUCGCAGGCGGACAGCGGUGCGGCCUGCCGUAAAACCCCCAACUCUUUCUGGUUGACCUCAGAUCAGGUAGGAAUACCCGCUGAACUUAAGCAUAUCAAUAAGCGGAGGA
rnacentral:misc_RNA from 1 species